UUGGGCAUAUCACCCCACCAACCCCCCGCUGAAUGUAAAAGAUGAGAUCCCAAUUUAUUUUACUUUUACGGGCUUUACAGCUUCAUGUAUGUCAUGUUGAAUCAGUACAGUUGAUCAUUUCCAGUCUGUGCACUGGCACGUAGACCCCCGGCUUUUCUUGAAACGAACACACGGUGGCUCACUUUCUCUUAAUUUUAGCCCUUACUCCUAACCCCUGAAGACAUGUUAGGCCACCAGAAGAGGUCCAGAGAAGAUCACGUUCAUAUUCCCCUGCCCCCCCUUUCACCCACACUUCAACAUGUUUCAAGCACAUGCAAACAAUGACUCAUGCAUUGCUUGUUUGCAUUCCCCACCAAUGUUCUUUUCAAGUGGCUUUAAUUAGGUUGACUUGAUGCUUAAGUUACCAUUAAAGUGACUUUCAAAAGCAAGACUUCAGCUACAGCCUUAAUGGGAUCUGUUUUAGAAGCAGGUUCAACAAACUCCAACUUGAUUAAUGCUGAGCUGCUGCUUGUGGUUCUAGAAAGUUCAAUCAGCUGAAUAUGUUCAGCUCAAGUUAAGCCUGUGCAUAAGCAGUGAAAAAUAGCCAUCAGCAGAGCUCUAGUACCAGGAUUCACCAUGGCAACAGGCAAAGAGCAGAGCCUCCAUGUAUUCACUGGACUGAGUGAAUGCAUCUUAAUGUAGAGGGAGACUUCUCUUUAAAAAACAAAAAACACAACAACAAAAAAGAAAAACAGUCAGCACCAUCCAUUCAUAAAGCAUGAAUCCUACCACAUUUUAGUUUUCGUUAUUUACUUGCAGCCGGAUGUGAAACAAAUACAGAUGCAAGCAAACAAAUCUGAACUUAAGAAAAAAAAAAAAACCCACACACACAAACAAAAACUGUAGUUCUCCUGUAAAUCGGAUUACCUUGAUUGUUUUCGAAAACAAUCUCAAUUUACACAUUUCAGAAAUUAAUUUUUUGUUUAAACAUGAUGUCUGACUGAACCUAUUGCAGUAUAAAUUACAAACAGAAUAUAAUCAGACCUACAGCCUGGAUUUAAAAACUCAUUUUAAAUAUUUAAUCCUGUUUUAGAACCAUAAAGUCAAUUCAGACUGAUCUUCACACCAAUAUUUAUGUCAUGUCCAGCAUGAUGUCAACUCUAAAACAAAUGCAGAUGACCUAUUAGACAGUUACAGCUGCUUUUCUGUCCACAAAGUUAAAUGGAUAUAGACUGUAGAAUUUAUUCUGGACUGCUAAUAUCCAGCAAACUGUUUUUAUCCUUACACUGAAGAUGUAUAAUAAAGACUACCAUCAAAUGUGGCAAUCAAGACAAGUCAAAAUUGUAACACUUUCAGGUUCUUACAUAAAUAGUCGAUGUAGGUAGAAGAACAGGAAAUUGAUUUGCAGCUGAAGACCAAUCCUAUUACAAUAAAUCUAUAAGUUUUUAGGUGUUAAAGAAUGGCCAUUAAGAUUACGAAUACUUCUAUUUACAUAGACCACUUGUCAGUAAUGUUACCCGCAAAUAAAAUCCAGACAUUGGAAGGGGAGGAAAAAAAAAAAAAAAAAAAAAAAAAACAACUUAAAAGAACUUCUGUGGACCUAAAAGCUUGAUUUCAUUAUCAGAGUCACCUGCACUACUUUAAUGCUUUUUAGAUGCAACGUCUUAUAUUCUGAAGCUGUAGCAGCUCGCAUGAUCCUGGAGAAACUUUGCAAUAUCCAGGAGAAAGUCUGCAACAGUAGUUUUAGUAUUAUAGGUCAAUAUGCUUAUGAAAUCAAACCUUCAGGUAAAUAAAAAGCUCCCUCAUCUGUGGAGCCAGCUCUCAGUUUGUAUUCAAGAGACAGACACGCUGUCUACUGUUAAGAUUCGGAUUAAGACUUUCCUUUUUCAUAAAGCAUAUAGUUAGGGCCUGAUCGGGUGACUCUGAAUCCUCCCUUAGUUGCACUGCAACAGGCCUAGGCUGCUGGGGGCUUCCCAUGAUGCACUUCUUCACUCGCUGUGUUUAUAGACCAUUUUGCAUUUAAUUAUUAUUUAUCCAUCUCUGACAGUCUCCCACAGCGUGUCUUUUGUCCCGUCUUCCCUCUCUCACACCCAGUUGGAGCAGAUGGCCACCCCUCCCUGAAACCGGUUCUGCUGGAGGUUUCUUCCUAUUUAAAGGGAGUUUUUCCUUCCCACUGUCUCCAAACCCUCGCUCAAAAUGUGGUCGUCUGAUUGUUUGGGUUUUCUCUGUAUUAUUGCAGGGUCUUAAUGUUACAGUGUAAAUCACCUCAAGGCAACUGUUGUUGUGGUGCUAUAUAAAUAAAAUUAAUGUUUAAAAAAAAAAAAAAAAAAAAAAAAUCAGAAACACUGGAGAAACUGCCUACUGAAUGCAUUACACUUCCAUACAAGACUGAUACAGAUGUUUUAAAGUUGAAUAAGGUCAGUCCAGUUUCAGUGCUCAGUUUUAGUAUUUACUUAGUAAUGCGAUGCUUUGUUUUCUAUUUAAAGGACAGAUUUCCAGGACAGCAGAUGUGUUCACAGACAAAAACACUACAACAUCUUUGUUUUCAUACCUUCAAAAAUGUGUUCAUCAUUCUUCCCGGUCUUGCACAUUGAGUUAUCGUGUCCUUUCAUUCAUGCCAUCUUCUGACCAGUCUCCACUGAUUGUUAUUACUCUUCCCUUGCACCGUACGGGGUGUGAAACAGACCUUUGACAGAUAUGCUACGGCCCGUGUGAAGCGGUUUUUGGAUUUAACGUAUGGCGAUGAUGGAGAUGUAUUACGGGACUCUUGAGGAAGAAGGCUUUUUGUGUUCCUCUUAAUCACAC
ensembl:lncRNA